GCCGGAAUAUCUCAGUUGGUAGAACA
rnacentral:tRNA from 1 species